rnacentral:rRNA from 1 species
AUACGUAGGGGGCAAGCGUUAUCCGGAAUUAUUGGGCGUAAAGAGUACGUAGGUGGCUACCUAAGCACGGGGUUUAAGGCUAUGGCUUAACCAUAGUUCGCCUUGUGAACUGGGCUGCUUGAGUGCAGGAGAGGAAAGCGGAAUUCCUAGUGUAGCGGUGAAAUGCGUAGAUAUUAGGAGGAACACCAGUGGCGAAGGCGGCUUUCUGGACUGUAACUGACACUGAGGUACGAAAGCGUGGGGAGC